AAUAUUAAGCAAAUAAAGAUG
rnacentral:misc_RNA from 1 species